UCUCUGGUAGUAUAUCGGAUAGUACACCCGCCUGUCAUGUAAACACGACCGCGGGAGAGCGGGGUUCGACUCCCCGCCAGAGAG